UACGUAGGGUGCAAGCGUUGUCCGGAAUUAUUGGGCGUAAAGAGCUCGUAGGCGGUCAGUCGCGUCUGCUGUGAAAACUCGGGGCUUAACUCCGGGCCUGCAGUGGGUAUGGGCUGACUAGAGUGCGGUAGGGGAGACUGGAAUUCCUGGUGUAGCGGUGAAAUGCGCAGAUAUCAGGAGGAACACCGGUGGCGAAGGCGGGUCUCUGGGCCGUAACUGACGCUGAGGAGCGAAAGCGUGGGGAGCAAACAGG
rnacentral:rRNA from 1 species